CAACGUCUUCAUCUGCAAACACACUUUACCAUCAACGAUGUCACGUUAGAUAUUAAAGCCUCACUAGUUCAAGUAGGACGAGGUAUUAAGCUGCUGAAAGUUGCCUUUGUUCGCUCACAGGACGGUUGAAUUUAAAAAGCGACUCAUCUCUCAUAAUCUACUUUGUUACUUCUAUACAAACCCUGUAGAGAAACAACCUUUUACAUGGAUUCUAAAUAAAUUCAUCUCAUUUCUGCAGCUCAAUGUUUGCUGGAGCAUCUUAAGACCUCCAAGUGAGCUCAACAUACGUCAAGUGAGACACGUCGAAGUCCCUCGCUGUGAUGUCAGAGGACACAAAACUGUUGAAUUCAGGAAACAUUUUUGACACUGCGCCCUUUAUGGCACAAAAAUGUCACCAAUGCUUUCCACAAACACACAAUGUUAACAGCAGUUCCACAAAUGUGUUCUCUUUCUCACACUCACACACACACACACACACACACACACACACACACACAUACACACACACACACAGGUAAUCCCCGGGCUCAGCUCUGAGCUCUCGGUCUAAUCGGGGACGAAGCCUCUCUGUGUGUCCACACCUCCACGGCUGGUUGAAUCCUAUUGGCUCAGGCAGCCAGAGCAAAUAACCGUUUAACACACUGCCACUUUCUGUGUGUGUCUGUGUGUGUGUGUGUGUGUGUCCUAUCACAACGCCACCAAACAAUUGUCUCUUUUUAUUUACCGGGAGGACGUGUUGAUGCUAAAGAGGCUUUCUGUUCGACUCCAAACAUCGGCUGCUGGAAGCCUCACAGCAGGAGGUGAAGAGGAGGCGGCUCCUCCUCCAGCUCGGGGACACGGGGACAUUAGUGGGGGCGGAGGGUCAGAAAGGAGGGAAGGAAGGCAGGACGAGGAGGAGGAGGAGGAGGAGGAGGAAGGCGCCAGGGGAUAUGCUACUGAGUAAUGUGUGGGCAGGGGAUGCUGGGAAAUGUCCUAGUGUCGUUUAAAGAAGUGUUUCUUUUAGCAUCUUGUUACGUCUGAACGCUGUGGGACUCACAUCGUACAGUAUGAACACACAACACACACAACAUAUCGCCAUAAGUCUCAGGUUUCUGUCUUUACGAGUUCAGACAACUAAAGCCUAAUUCAUAGUUCUGUAUUUUCAGAGAAACGCAAGGGACACGCAAGAGCCCCUCCCGUGUCCCUCCCGUGUCCCUUGCGUGUCCCCUGCGUGUCUUUUCACGCCUCCUUGCGUGCGUCGACCCAUUUUUGUAGACCAGCGUGUAAAGCGACGCAGCGUCCUGCAGCAGCAGGCUGUGAUUGGUCUCUGACUACGUCCUUUACGGAGUCUCACGUCUCCGUUUUCACAGCACAAUACGGCCGUUAUUAAAAGGAAGAACGUUUACGAGAGAACGGAUCAGAUUGAAGAGCUUUUAAAUAUGAGCGCUUGUACAAGCCGUCAUUGGCGGACUAUGAGGACGCCGGAUGGCCUCUGAUUCAUGGAGGGAGAUCUCCACAAACGAGGGAACAAAGUCGUGGAGGAAAAUACGGGACAAAUGUGUCCGUGAUGAAAAGCAGCAGUGUGGAUGCACGGGGCAAUAAAGUCUAUGAUCAAUAAAUAAAGCAACCAGCGACUUCCACACACAAAGACGUGACUCUCCAGGUCGUCUUCAACAAAACACGUGACUCCACCUGUUGUUCUGGAGGUGAAUCGCUCUGCAACACACGCAAGACUUUACAACCAGGAAGUGAAACCAGUGCGUCGACGUGUAAAGACGCAGACGCCAGCCUUAUCAGAUUAAUCUGAUAAUUCUCUGGCAAAAUAAACCAAAGGACAUGAUACGAAAUAGAAAGUUGGCGUAAAAUGUUCACAUAAAAUAAAAUUGGUCAUUGCAGAGUCUUCUUUGGGAGCAGCUACAUUCUGACGGAUGCUGAUUUAUUUUCUUGUUCCCUCGACUUAAUAUUUUUCUUGUAUCUUUUUUCGUUUCCCAUCAUAAAGGUCUCACUGUGCAGAGAACAUUUCUAACUGCUGUUCGGUAAGACAUAUAAAAUAGAGACUAAUAGUCCAUAGCAACAAAGCCCUGCGGUACUCAGGGUAACACGGAGGUUAGCGCUGUGGUGUUGAGAUGUUCUCCAGUCCAUGCUGCAUUAAGCGAAGUGCUGCAGAGCCUCCUCACGGCUGACAUGCAUUCAUUGCAUGGUGAAAGCGUCCUAACGGGCUCUCAUAGGCUCCCUGAAAGUCAAAUAAACUGCAGCACAGUCACGUCCACGCCGACAUUAAUCCAUAAACUUGUACACUAUGUAAUUUCAUGUCUCUGUGACUUUAAGGCUUCCACAGAUAAACACAAGUGAACUCUUUUUUCAGAGCUUAUGAAGGUUUGAGUCGAAGCUUGUGAAUCCAAAUUUAAAUCCAAGACUUUAUUUCUGACAUAAGGGGAGAUAAGAAGGGAGCGAUGAUUAGGGAUUUUCCUUUUGGUAAUUAAACGAUCUCAUUACUCUUAGGAUCAGAUUAAGCCAAGGACUUUUUACACCACUUCUGGGAACCGGAUACAUCCGUCUUCUGGCACACUCUCCUACGAAUCCAUCACGGCUUCAAUCGAAACGAGGACAUGAGGAGCACAAGUUCUCAAACUUCUGUGCUUCGGAUCGGCAGCUGAGACGAUUGGCUUUGAAUAACGACUUUAAAGCUCCUCAUGCUCGAGUGAGACAGGUUUACUGCCGUUAUCUUUUACCAGGUUGAUUAAAGCGGAGCUCGAAAGGGUUAAAAGGUGCUCUAGAGACUUGAUAUUCCACCUAAAAUAGAGGCCGACGGGCCUCUGUGAAGUGAAGCAGCUCCAAGGGACACUUUCACCAAGUGGCUCCAGACGGUUUCCUCUCUUCACACGUUCGAUCCUCCACCUUGAACAUUCCUGGGUAAACGUAACCAAUACAACAUCUGAACCAAGAGCAUCCUCUCGCUAUCACGUGUUUGUAUCAAGACACAUCCGGAAAUAAACGUUUAAAUCCCUCAUGGAUUCAGAUAAAAGUCCUGUGAAAGCAGCUUGAUUUGGAGAUACGGCAGUGAACAUAUUGAAAUAGAACGUUGUUCCUCUGGUUCGAGCAACAUUAACAAGAGAACUAGAGCUCCCAUCUGUUGAAGGAAAACACUGCUGGCACAUCACACAUUGUUGGUUUGGGAUUUGUUGCCGUGGACGCACACAGAACGUCUUCCUCUGACUGAGUUGUGUUUUUAUUUCACUUUCAGAAAUGGAUUAAAGUGGAACAGCACGCGGCCUGACAGCUGAAUCCGUCUCGCGUUCAGGUGGAGAAGAAGGACGGAUGUUCACGUUAAAAACCAGAGCGUCUUUUUCACAAACAAAAAGCUCACAUUUUAAAAAAAGUGGUACUCUCCGAUCCUGUUGGCACAUCCGCUGUGGAUGCCGGUCUGAGCGGCAUCUGCCGCGCCGCAGGCCAGAUUUCCCAUUAGCGCUGCAUGUUAGCGAGGCGGCGCCGGCGGCGCCGGCCGCUGCUGGCAUCGACGCCAUUUCCCACAAUGAGGAAAUGCAACAGGGAGUAACGUGGAACAGAUUUAAGCGUUCGGCGGCCAGAUACUCCGCUCCAGCCACACGGCAGAGAAGUGAGGAGAGACGAGGCGAGAUGAGGGUUUGAGAAGUCAAACGGACGAGGGGACGAAGGGGACGAGGGGACACACCUUAGGGGGGACGGAGCCCAGAGACAACAGACGUGACAAGCAGCGCUCCAUCCACUCAUCCCCGGCUAAUGAAGCUGGACUGCUGCGAGUCAGGCACCGAAGAUCAAUACCGGCCUCGGCACCGGGGGGCAGCGCGGCCCGGCGAGGGGGGGGCGAGGGGGGGGGGGGGGGGGAAUGUCUGCCUGCAUCUAUUGGAUUUCCACUUGCUUUACAACGCGCUGCUAAGCAGAGGCACAAAGCGCCUUCAAUUUAAUCACAUCCAGUUACCGGGGGCUCAUCCGCGAUCAAUUAUCCUCCAACCUGAAUGUGGCCGCGUGAAAAAGACUUCACUGCCCAAAGUACACAGAAUACACACAAAAGUACUAGUUGUUAAGAAGAAGCCACCGGUCCAACUCUCCAGAACUAAUCCACAGUGAGGUUUAAAAUGAUCCCCACUCCCAAAGUCCUCAUGUACAGUUCCACAAAGUGCUCACUAUUCUCUUUAAAUUGGGGAAGUUAUUGUCUCAUUGAGUUAUUGUUCACUCUGAAACAUCCCACAUGUACAUCUCAGGUCUUACUGUACUUCCUACAACGAGUGAUGGCAUCUUUAACAUGUAAAUUAGAAUCAGCUGUUUAGACAGUAUUCCACACCAGAGGGAGAGAAAACCGAAGGGACUUCAUCCGUCUGUGUUUCUGGGGGCUCUCCUGCCGCCCCGGCAUCGAGCGGCCACUGAGCACAUUCAUUCAUCUCACGGCUGCUUCACGCUGACGUUCUCAUCCGCUGGUUAGUGUGUGACAUCCGCCGGAAUAAUCCGCUGUCACGUCUACCUGUCGUAGCGCUGUAGACACAUGUUUUAUUCACAGGGGCUUCAUGAGGAGACCUGCUCUGGGCCUCCGACCCCCACAAACUGCUGCUGUAGCGCCGCGGAUCGGGGGUCGCGCCCUGAGAAGGAAAAAGAAGAAGCCGGUGAGGCAAUAAAUAGCUCCGGUUAUUAUCUCUCUGUCCCCCGGACAGCUGCGACAAAGAGUCCGAGAAUAGAAAAGUGCAGUUAGCAGCAUCUCAUCGGAGACGGAAGGGACAAAAGAACAGAACGAAAACCUUCUGUGUUUAAUGUCCUCUUCCUCUUCUUUUAGAAGGUACAUAAAGCAACAGAGACCAGCUGGUUACAUCUGAUGGUGUUUGUAUCUGAUGGUGUUUGCAUCUGAUGGUGUUUGCAUGUGAUGGUGUUUGCAUGUGAUGGUGUUUGCAUCUGAUGGUGUUUGUAUCUGAUGGUGUUUGCAUCUGAUGGUGUUUGCAUGUGAUGGUAUUUGCAUGUGAUGGUGUUUGCAUGUGAUGGUGUUUGUAUCUGAUGGUGUUUGCAUCUGAUGGUGUUUGCAUGUGAUGGUGUUUGGAUGUGAUGGUGUUUGCAUGUGAUGGUGUUUGCAUCUGAUGGUGUUUGUAUCUGAUGGUGUUUGUAUCUGACGGUGUUUGCAUGUGAUGGUGUUUGUAUCUGAUGGUGUUUGUAUCUGAUGGUGUUUGUAUCUGACGGUGUUUGCAUGUGAUGGUGUUUGUAUCUGAUGGUGUUUGCAUCUGAUGGUGUUUGCAUGUGAUGGUGUUUGGAUGUGAUGGUGUUUGGAUGUGAUGGUGUUUGCAUGUGAUGGUAUUUGCAUCUGAUGGUGUUUGUGUCUGAUGGUGUUUGCAUGUGAUGGUGUUUGCAUCUGAUGGUGUUUGUAUCUGAUGGUGUUUGCAUCUGAUGGUGUUUGUGUCUGAUGGUGUUUGCAUGUGAUGGUGUUUGUAUCUGAUGGUGUUUGCAUGUGAUGGUGUUUGCAUGUGAUGGUGUAUGAAGCUCUAGAGUUUAUAUUAUUUUUGUAAUCCCAGACAGAGAGAAAUGAAUAAUUCAGCCCCGUGUAGUAAAUCCGUGUCCUCGCAGCAGAGAAGGAUGGAGGAUGAAGUAUAAUUAUGGGAGCUGCCAAGGUGUGUCUCAGGCAUAUGGCGACGCUCCUCGCUGGCGGCGGCUGGUUUUCCGCCGGGCUUCAGGGAAGAAGGACGCCCGUCUUUGUUGUGGGAUUUGUAACAACAAUAUGUGACUACGGCUGUUUUAUUUAUGGCCGCCUGUUUUUCUUAUUUUCCAGCCUCCUUGUUCCUCUCCCCCACGGACGCUGUGUCCCGGUCAUUCAUCAUUCAAAGGCGCCAGUCAAUAAAUCAUACGAGUGAAUGAUUCAUUCAGCCACUAAGUGCAAGCAAACCGUGUGUAAGCUGCUGUCCGUGUUCAUGUUGGGAAGAGCAGCUUCUUCUUUAAUUCAUCAGGCCGCUUCUCGCCGAGGAGCCGCGCUCGCCGCCGCCACACAGACGAGUCGACUGCUUUUACCCAAACAGCCAAACUCGUCUUUGUUGUGCAAUAAUCAGCUCUGUUUCGUUCUUUUGCAGAAUGAAUCAAAGGAGAAUAUUUAAUAUUACUAAAAUAAUUGAUCUACAACCUGCAGGUUUAAAGACUUUAUACUUGAAAGAAAGGAAAGAAAAUACAGUUUUAUUUAUACUCUUUCUUAGUGAGUCAAUGAAUAAAGGAGUGUGAGUCAAUUUGAGCCUUUAGCUGGAAGCAGCCUCUCACAUCUCAUGCAGUGUGUUGCAGCAGGAUAAGAGAUCACAGAUUAGAGAUCACAGAUUAGAGAUUAGCCGUGGACGGACACACAGAUGCACACUGCCGCUGCUCUGCACAUGGUCACAUAUAGAAAGAAGCGCGUGCACAGUGAAAGAGUGAUUUAGUAUAAUUAGUUAUUUAAAUGACACGUUGGAAUGAAAGAAACCACAGAAUUGUGAAGAGAUUAAAGUUGUUUGUCUCGUCACGUCGAUGCAGAUGUUUGUUGUUUUCCGCUCACAGUUUCUACUUUCAUCGCUUCUGCUUCUCUUUGUCUCUCACAUGAGCCGCAAUCCAAUUAUUGCCAAACGACGUUCCGUCCCUGAAAGAGGAAGCGAAGCGUUGUUGUUUCUCGUUGCCCAGCAACCAUGUUCCCUUGACUUUAAGGUGCACGCGCUGCAUCACGACAGCACGCUGGAGUCUGGAUGUAAGGGGGGGGAGGGCGUGGUUCUCCUCAUGUCGGGGGGCAGCAGGUGUGCGAGAGGACUUUGUGGGAGCGGUCGGGAUGAAUCGUGUAUUUCUGUUGUUGUUGUUUGUGAUGUUUCUCCGACGGCGUCGGCUCGUAAUGACGUGAUGUCAUGUGUAAUGUUUGAAGUGGGAACACACUCAGUCUUAUUUUAAGACAUCUCAACGCUCGCUGUGCUUCAUCAAGUACUUUAAUAAUAUCCGCAGCGAGUCCAUCCGCCCUGGAUUCUUUUCUGGGAGAAACAUAAAAACACAACAAAACCUACAAUUUCCUCCACAGAAGAAAAGCUUUUCUCUG
ensembl:lncRNA